rfam:Firmicutes bacterium MLFW-2 MLFW-2_Contig_6_85X, whole genome shotgun sequence.
GAAGUCCCUGUUGGACAAGGUCUAACCAACCACCCAUACCGAGUGUUGCGCCGAAGCUGGUAACAGUUAGGUGAAGCGUACACAGGGAACUAUAUAGACCACAGGGGAGACCGUAAUCCUUGAAGCAUAUUCAGCCCCGUAAAUCGUGUGCCUAGAAAUAGGUUAGUUGCAGAUGGCGACAUGUUUAACGUCAUGGAAGCCAAUACAGAGAAGUCGUAAAAGGUGAGACUUUCGAGGGUCUGUCGGGGUCAGAGAACG